rnacentral:pre_miRNA from 1 species
UUUCCCAGCGAGAACUCUUUCUGUGGCUGCCUUUCCUAUCAUUCAUACGGCAUCACAGUCUGAGUUCUUGCUUGGCGA